rnacentral:rRNA from 1 species
CCUACGGGACGCAGCAGUGGGGAAUAUUGCACAAUGGGGGAAACCCUGAAGCAGCGACGCCGCGUGAGCGAAGAAGUAUUUCGGUAUGUAAAGCUCUAUCAGCAGGGAAGAAAAUGACGGUACCUGACUAAGAAGCACCGGCUAAAUACGUGCCAGCAGCCGCGGUAAUACGGAUGGAGCAAGCGUUAUCCGGAUUUACUGGGCGUAAAGGGAGCGCAGGCGGGCCGGCAAGUCUGAUGUGAAAGAC